rnacentral:rRNA from 1 species
AUGAUCGACCUCAGGGCAGGGUACCACCAAGUAAGAAUGAAUACUGCUGAUAUCCACAAGACUGUGUUCAGAACAUACUUCGGCCACUUUGAGUACUUGGUUAUGCCUUUUGGGCUCACCAAUGCCCCAGCAACUUUCCAAGCCCUCAUGAACAAAGUAUUUACCAAGUACCUCCGAAAAUUUAUUCUUGUGUUCUUCGAUGAUAUCUUAGUGUACAACAAGACGUUGCAACAACACUUGAAACAUCUGAAAAUGGUCCUGGACAUCUUGAGAGCUGAGCAACUUUUUGCCAAAAGGAGCAAAUGCAUCUUUGCUGCCCCCCAGGUGGAGUACUUGGGCCACAUAAUCUCGGGAAAAGGUGUAGAGACCGACCCACAAAAGGUUGAGGCAGUUUCCAAUUGGCCUCUACCUCAAAACAUCACUCAGCUGAGAAGCUUCCUGAGACUCGCAGGAUACUAUAGGAGGUUUGUGCAGAAUUAUGGAGAAAUAUGUAGACCCCUACAUGACAUGCUCAAGAAAGAGGCCUUCCACUGGACAUCGGAACAAACAGCAGCUUUCAACCAACUCAAGCACAAGCUAACAUCAGCACCUGUCCUGGCACUACCCAACUUCUCACUCCCCUUCCAACUGGAAACUGAUGCUAAUGGUACUGGACUUGGGACAGUUCUGAUGCAGCAAAACAGGCCUAUUGCAUACUUCAGCAAGUCUUUAGGACCCAAAUCUGCUGCCCUCUCCACUUAUGAAAAGGAAUCACUCGCAAUCCUUGAGGCAUUAAAGAAAUGGAGGCACUAUGUUGUGGGCAACGAGCUGCACAUCAAAACUGACCAAAAGAGUCUGAAAUUCAUAACUGAGCAGAAGGUUUCAGAAGGCAUACAACACAAAUUACUCCUCAAACUCCUAGAAUUCAACUACAAGAUUGACUAUAAGAAGGGCAGCACUAACAAGGCUACGGAUGCUCUUAGCAGAAAGGGCAGGACACUCAUGGCCACAACCAUCAUAACACCCACCUGGAUUGAAUCCGGUUAA